rnacentral:rRNA from 1 species
GAUGAACGCUGGCGGCGUGCUUAACACAUGCAAGUCGAACGGAAAGGCCCAAGCUUGCUUGGGUACUCGAGUGGCGAACGGGUGAGUAACACGUGGGUGAUCUGCCCUGCACUUCGGGAUAAGCCUGGGAAACUGGGUCUAAUACCGGAUAGGACCACUUCUUGGAUGUUGUGGUGGAAAGUUUUUUCGGUGUGGGAUGAGCUCGCGGCCUAUCAGCUUGUUGGUGGGGUAAUGGCCUACCAAGGCGUCGACGGGUAGCCGGCCUGAGAGGGUGUACGGCGACAUUGGGACUGAGAUACGGCCCAGACUCCUACGGGAGGCAGCAGUGGGGAAUAUUGCACAAUGGGCGCAAGCCUGAUGCAGCGACGCCGCGUGGGGGAUGACGGCCUUCGGGUUGUAAACGCCGUUCGCUAGGGACGAAGCGUUUUGUGACGGUACCUGGAGAAGAAGCACCGGCUAACUACGUG